GACGAACGCUGGCGGCGUGCUUAACACAUGCAAGUCGAACGGAAAGGCCCUGCUUGCAGGGUACUCGAGUGGCGAACGGGUGAGUAACACGUGGGUGAUCUGCCCUGCACUUCGGGAUAAGCCUGGGAAACUGGGUCUAAUACCGGAUAGGAGCCAUUUUUAGUGUGAUGGUUGGAAAGUUUUUUCGGUGUAGGAUGAGCUCGCGGCCUAUCAGCUUGUUGGUGGGGUAAUGGCCUACCAAGGCGGCGACGGGUAGCCGGCCUGAGAGGGUGGACGGCCACAUUGGGACUGAGAUACGGCCCAGACUCCUACGGGAGGCAGCAGUGGGGAAUAUUGCACAAUGGGCGCAAGCCUGAUGCAGCGACGCCGCGUGGGGGAUGACGGCCUUCGGGUUGUAAACUCCUUUCGCUAGGAACGAAGCUUUUUGUGACGGUACCUAGAUAAGAAGCACCGGCUAACUACGUG
rnacentral:rRNA from 1 species